AUGGAAUGGUUACCACUAGCAACAACAUCCUGUUGCUAGGCAAAUUCAGGUCAGCUCUGGGAGUAAACAAGCAGCCUCUAGUCGCAGAGGUAUGGCAAUGAAUGAUGUACAGCUCCCCGUGACCUAUGGAGUGUAUUUCAGCAGCCACGGGUCUGUUACUACAUAGGUGAGAAAAACUGAAGAUACACAACUUGCCCAAGGGUCUUACAAUUGAUCGUAACAGUGUGCUAAGAACUAGCCAGAGAAAGAAACUGAAGAAAUACUCAGCUUUGCUGUUUAUGGCCUUCAUCCUACAUCCAGCUCUUUAUCAUCAUUUUUGGGCUGGGCCCAGCAAGGUCUCUCACAUAUCCAUACCCAGGAGCUCCUGACAGUCUCAUGCACAAAGGAGCCCUGUGACAGAAUUCAUCUCACAGACGAGGCACGCCAGAUGAGAUCAGGGUGUACAGUCGUCAUGUGGGACUAGGAGCAUAAAGGGACCUGCCUGGAUAGCCCCUCAAAUGUGUAUUUCUCACACCAUCUCACCAAGCC
rnacentral:lncRNA from 1 species